rnacentral:rRNA from 1 species
CCUACGGGAGGCAGCAGUGAGGAAUAUUGGUCAAUGGGCUUACGCCUGAACCAGCCAAGUCGCGUGAGGGAAGACUGCCCUAUGGGUUGUAAACCUCUUUUGUCAGGGAGCAACGCCGGCUACGUGUAGCCGGACUGAGAGUACCUGAAGAAAAAGCAUCGGCUAACUCCGUGCCAGCAGCCGCGGUAAUACGGAGGAUGCGAGCGUUAUCCGGAUUUAUUGGGUUUAAAGGGUGCGUAGGCGGAAUGCCAAGUCAGCGGUAAAAGCGCGGGGCUCAACCUCGCUCCGCCGUUGAAACUGGCGUUCUUGAGUGGGCGAGAAGUAUGCGGAAGGCGUGGUGUAGCGGUGAAAUGCAUAGAUAUCACGCAGAACUCCGAUUGCGAAGGCAGCAUACCGGCGCCCAACUGACGCUGAAGCACGAAAGCGUGGGUAUCGAACAGGAUUAGAUACCCUAGUAGUC